GAACGCGAAGAACCUUACCUACCCUUGACAUGUCUGGAAUCCUGAAGAGAUUUGGGAGUGCUCGAAAGAGAGCCAGAACACAGGUGCUGCAUGGCCGUCGUCAGCUCGUGUCGUGAGAUGUUGGGUUAAGUCCCGCAACGAGCGCAACCCUUGUCAUUAGUUGCUACGAAAGGGCACUCUAAUGAGACUGCCGGUGACAAACCGGAGGAAGGUGGGGAUGACGUCAGGUCAUCAUGGCCCUUAUGGGUAGGGCUACACACGUCAUACAAUGGCCGGGACAGAGGGCUGCCAACCCGCGAGGGGGAGCUAAUCCCAGAAACUCGGUCGUAGUCCGGAUCGUAGUCUGCAACUCGACUGCGUGAAGUCGGAAUCGCUAGUAAUCGCGGAUCAGCUUGCCGCGGUGAAUACGUUCCCGGGUCUUGUACACACC
rnacentral:rRNA from 1 species